rnacentral:lncRNA from 1 species
ACACUCAACAAUGCUUAUCCGAUAGGUGAUAACUACUUCACUGACUCCUAGACAUGCAAGACUUUUUAGCUGUGGGUUUGUUUUUGCCAAAAGUGACUAGUUGGUCCUUACUUUCAACAUUUUAGCUCAGGUUCUAAGUUCAUUAACCAGUCUAAAUUAGCAACUUAUACUAAGCAAACAUAGUUUCCAAAUAAUUAAAGAACAAGCAUCAAGAUUAAUAUCAUCAUCAUGUUCCAUCUUUACUAAGUGUAGAAUAGCGAUCAAGCAGUCCCAAACUGUGAGAGGCAGACGAAUCGAAUCAAAUUUAUUAAGCAUCCAUGACGAACCUAAUCCCACGACAUCCACGCACCACGAAGGGUCACUUCAC